rnacentral:lncRNA from 1 species
GAUUAUAAAGCUUCAGUAUACCUAUUUAUUCUUUUUCUUUUCUUCACAGAGUGUAUAUUGGGCCAUGAUUUAUUUUUAUACUUUUAUAUUAAUUACAGACAUGUACCAUUUAACAAAAGUGGGAAAAUAAUAUUCAACUGACAGGCAGGAAAAAGCUACACUAGACACACAAAUGAAGCUAUAUGUGAAAUAAAAAAAGCACAAUGAGUUUAUCUCAACUUACCAAGAAAAAUGAAUCUCUGGAGAAUUGGCAUUAAAUCCUGUGGUUUGGCUUGUCUCCGCUUUGAUGGAUGUCCUAUUGCCUAUGUUCCCUUAGUAAAAGCAAUCGAUGUCUUCUGAGGUGAACAUGACAUGUG